AGUGAACGCUGGCGGUAGGCCUAACACAUGCAAGUCGAACGGCAGCACAGUAAGAGCUUGCUCUUACGGGUGGCGAGUGGCGGACGGGUGAGGAAUACAUCGGAAUCUACUUUUUCGUGGGGGAUAACGUAGGGAAACUUACGCUAAUACCGCAUACGACCUACGGGUGAAAGCAGGGGAUCUUCGGACCUUGCGCGAUUGAAUGAGCCGAUGUCGGAUUAGCUAGUUGGCGGGGUAAAGGCCCACCAAGGCGACGAUCCGUAGCUGGUCUGAGAGGAUGAUCGGCCACACUGGAGCCGAGACACGGUCCAGACUCCUACGGGAGGCAGCAGUGGGGAAUAUUGGACAAUGGGCGCAAGCCUGAUCCAGCCAUACCGCGUGGGUGAAGAAGGCCUUCGGGUUGUAAAGCCCUUUUGUUGGGAAAGAAAAGCAGCAGGUUAAUACCCCGCUGUUCUGACGGUACCCAAAGAAUAAGCACCGGCUAACUUCGUG
rnacentral:rRNA from 1 species